AGAUAUCUUAGUGGCGCACGGGUGAGUAACGCGUGAAUAACCUGACCCGAAGAGGGGGAUAACACCUGGAAACAAGUGCUAAUACCGCAUAAGACCACGGACCGGCAUCGGUCAGAGGUCAAAGGAGAAAUCCGCUUUGGGAGGGGUUCGCGUCCCAUUAGGUAGUUGGUGAGGUAACGGCCCACCAAGCCGACGAUGGGUAGCCGAGCUGAGAGGCUGAUCGGCCACACUGGAACUGAGACACGGUCCAGACUCCUACGGGAGGCAGCAGUGGGGAAUAUUGGGCAAUGGGCGCAAGCCUGACCCAGCAACGCCGCGUGAGGGAAGAAGGUUUUCGGAUUGUAAACCUCUGUCGCAGGGGACGAAGGAAGUGACGGUACCCUGUAAGAAAGCCCCGGCUAACUACGUGCCAGCAGCCGCGGUAAUACGUAGGGGGCGAGCGUUGUCCGGAAUUACUGGGCGUAAAGAGCUCGUAGGCGGGAAGGUACGUUUGGAAGUAAAUCUCACGGCUCAACUGUGAGCUCAUUCCAAAUACGGCUUUUCUUGAGGGCAGCAGGGGAGAAUGGAAUUCCCAGUGUAGCGGUGAAAUGCGUAGAUAUUGGGAAGAAUACCGGUGGCGAAGGCGAUUCUCUGGGCUGUGACUGACGCUGAGGAGCGAAAGCGUGGGUAGCGAACGGGAUUAGAUACCCCGGUAGUCCACGCCGUAAACGAUGAAUACUAGGUGUGGGGGGACUGACCCCCUCCGUGCCGGAGUUAACACAAUAAGUAUUCCACCUGGGGAGUACGGCCGCAAGGUUGAAACUCAAAGGAAUUGACGGGGGCCCGCACAAGCAGUGGAUUAUGUGGUUUAAUUCGAAGCAACGCGAAGAACCUUACCAGGGCUUGACAUCCAACUAACGAAGUAGAGAUACAUUAGGUGCCCUUCGGGGAAAGUUGAGACAGGUGGUGCAUGGUUGUCGUCAGCUCGUGUCGUGAGAUGUUGGGUUAAGUCCCGCAACGAGCGCAACCCUUGUUGUUAGUUGCUACGCAAGAGCACUCUAGCGAGACUGCCGUUGACAAAACGGAGGAAGGUGGGGACGACGUCAAAUCAUCAUGCCCCUUAUGUCCUGGGCUACACACGUAAUACAAUGGCGUUAAACAGAGGGAGGCAAAGCCGCGAGGUGGAGCAAAUCCCUAAAAGGCGUCUCAGUUCGGAUUGCAGGCUGCAACUCGCCUGCAUGAAGUCGGAAUUGCUAGUAAUCGCGGAUCAGCAUGCCGCGGUGAAUACGUUCCCGGGCCUUGUACACACCGCCCGUCA
rnacentral:rRNA from 1 species